AGUGAAUUUUUGGGGCGUCGUCCUAUCCCAACACUUGAGUGAAGAUUUCCCAGGAUUCGGGGGUCUUUUCAGUACAUGUGCAUAUGUGUACUCUAUUCUAGAUAUAAUCUUGUAGCAGGUAAUUUAAAAAAUGUGUGUGGCACCGGGAUGGAGUCUGGGGUCUUUUGAAAGAAUGGGAAUGAAUGCUGGUAACAGACUGAAGAACCAAGCUUCACAGACUACUUGACAACAUUUGCAUGAAGCAGAGGCUGGACACGUGACCUGCAUGAUUGGUGAGGAUGAAUGUACCACAGCCUUAGCUCUCCAGAACACCAUGGACCUCUCCUGGUUGGGAAUUGAAGUCUAGAGAUCCCCUCACAUACUUGCCAGUACAACAGAAGCAAAACCAGGACACUGCCUGUCCUCCCUGCCCAGGAGGUGCGAUGCUGUGUCUAAAAGUGAGACUCCUGUUGAUUCUUUCCAAGUGGGGAAGGAUGAGCGCAUGCUUGUUGGUGUGAUGAAGUGAGCCUGCACUCCUGAGGGAACGGGGAAGGCCUGGCUGUGACAAGAUGCCCAGGCAAAAGAAGCUUAGAGGAAGAAAGACUCACUUUGCUUUAUGUUUCUAGGGCUAUGGUUGCUCAGGUCAGUUGCUUUUUGGCCUGUCCUGAGGUAGUACAUUAUGGUGGAAGAAAGUCUCUCAUUUUGUGUCAGCCAAGAAACAGAGAUGGAGGAAGGGGUCCAAGAUUCCAGUAUGCCUUUCAAGGGCACAAGACCAGAGAUGUAUUCUCUCCAUCGAGGCCCUACCUCCUAAACUUUCCAGCACCACUCGGGAAAACUACCACUUGUGCAUGAAGGCUUCAACUGAUGAGGUGGGGGAGGGGCACCAUUCUAGGUCUAACCCAUAACAAGUCACAUGGUAUUUCCUU